AGUUUGAUCCAGGCUCAGAACGAACGCUGGCGGCAGGCUUAACACAUGCAAGUCGAGCGCUCUAGCAAUAGAGAGCGGCGCACGGGUGCGUAACGCGUGGGAACAUACCCUCAGGUAAGGAAUAACGCAGGGAAACUUGUGCUAAUACCUUAUAAUGGCUCUGGCUUAAAGCUCCGGCGCCUGAGGAUUGGCCCGCGUCUGAUUAGCUAGUUGGUGAGGUAAUGGCUCACCAAGGCUACGAUCAGUAGCUGGUCUGAGAGGAUGAUCAGCCACACUGGGACUGAGACACGGCCCAGACUCCUACGGGAGGCAGCAGUGAGGAAUAUUGGACAAUGGAGGCAACUCUGAUCCAGCCAUGCCGCGUGAGUGAUGAAGGCCUUCGGGUUGUAAAGCUCUUUUAGGUGUGAAGAUGAUGACGGUAACACCAGAAAAAGCCCCGGCUAACUUCGUGCCAGCAGCCGCGGUAAUACGAAGGGGGCGAGCGUUGUUCGGAAUAACUGGGCUUAAAGCGUGCGUAGGCGGAUUUGUAAGUCAGAAGUGAAAUCCCAGGGCUUAACCCUGGAACUGCUUUUGAGACUGCAAGUCUAGAAUUCGGUAGAGGUUAGUGGAAUGUCCAGUGUAGAGGUGAAAUUCGCAGAUAUUGGACGGAACACCAGUGGCGAAGGCGACUAACUGGGCCGAUAUUGACGCUGAGGUAUGAAAGCGUGGGUAGCAAACAGGAUUAGAUACCCUGGUAGUCCACGCCGUAAACUAUGUAUGCUAGCUGUUGGGAAUCUUAGAUUCUCGGCGGCGGAGGGAAACCAUUAAGCAUACCGCCUGGGGAGUACGGCCGCAAGGUUAAAACUCAAAGGAAUUGACGGGGACCCGCACAAGCGGUGGAGCAUGUUGUUUAAUUCGAAGCAACGCGAAGAACCUUACCUACGCUUGACAUGUCCAGUAUGGGAUCCAGAGACGGAUCUCUUCAGUUCGGCUGGCUGGAACACAGGUGCUGCAUGGCUGUCGUCAGCUCGUGUCGUGAGAUGUUGGGUUAAGUCCCGCAACGAGCGCAACCCUUAUCGUCUGUUGCCAUCAUUCAGUUGGGCACUCUGACGAGACCGCCGGUGACAAGCCGGAGGAAGGUGGGGACGACGUCAAGUCAUCAUGGCCCUUACGCGUAGGGCUACAAACGUGCUACAAUGGCGGUGACAGUGGGCAGCGAGGCAGCGAUGCCAAGCAAAUCCCAAAAAGCCGUCUCAGUUCGGAUUGUUCUCUGCAACUCGAGAGCAUGAAGCUGGAAUCGCUAGUAAUCGUGGAUCAGAACGCCACGGUGAAUACGUUCCCGGGUCUUGUACACACCGCCCGUCACGUCAUGGGAGUUGGUUCUACCUGAAGACGGUGCGCUAACCCGCAAGGGAGGCAGCCGGCCACGGUAGGGUCAGUGACUGGGACGAAGUCGUAACAAGGUAGCCGUAGGGGAACCU
rnacentral:rRNA from 2 species